AGAAAGGUAAUUGUAAUAAACGUCGUAACUAAGUAGAUAAACGGAGAAAAAGGACGGUAGUAAACGUUAGGGUUUGAUUCAAAAAUUUUCAAUUGGAGAAAAUUUCCAGAAACAAAGGAACACUAAAAUUUUCGUGGGCGGCGAGAGGCAAGGAAUUGAGGCGUUUAUUGGCUGUUGAGUGCGAGUUAAAGAGUUGUUUCUUGUUGUGUGCUACUGAAGUCAUGUUUGAGAUCUCUACUGUUAAGAGAAAGAGGUGUUCCGACGCCACAAGCGUGUUUGAAGAAUUCAGAGGCACGGAUGAAUCGAUAUAUUACUUGGACCGAUUGAAUAGAAUUUCCCAUAGAGUGGGGUGCGUUUCCGCGUAUUAAGGUCUGGAGUAUGAAGAUGAUUCGGAAGGCUGGUAAGUCGGAUAGGGUGCCAACAGGGGACUUCAAUUAAGGUGUAAAGUUGUUUUGAAGUGACUAUUGGGUAAAACCCACCAUGCAAAUUUUAUUUUUAGCAGAAAAAGUUCUUUUGUCAUUUUUUAUAUUUUGUAUGCAGUAUACUUUGACAAAAUACCCCUUACAUUGGACGUGGCGCUUAAAAUAAUGUUGUUGAAAAAUUUCCCGAUUUAUUGAUAAAUUAUCAUCAUUUGCAUCAAAA